rnacentral:rRNA from 1 species
UACGUAGGUGGCGAGCGUUGUCCGGAAUUACUGGGUGUAAAGCGCGUGUAGGCGGGAGGCCAAGUCUGUGGUGAAAUCGCUCGGCUUAACUGGGCGGGGUCCAUGGAAACUGGUCACCUGGAGGUCGGUAGAGGCAAGUGGAAUUCCCGGUGUAGUGGUGAAAUGCGUAGAGAUCAUGAGGAAGACCAGUGGCGAAGGCGGGUCUCUGGACAGUUCCUGACACUGAGGCACGAAGGCCAGGGGAGCAAACGGG